CAUCGAGCAGAUUAGCUAAAUGGGAUGAUUGGGUUUUUGCAAGACCCCACAAAAACAAAGCCUAUUGAAAAUAAUUUGGAAGGUCCCACAGCACUGUCUGAACCACUAAUUUGGAAGAAAUAAGAAUAAAAUAAGAAUACAUAUAAACAACUAAAUAAAUGACGCAUACAAAUCCACUGAAUAUCGAACUUUUUCGAAUCGCCAUCGCAGUUGAAACCUGACAAGUGGAAUAUUUGGGUAAUAACCAUCACAUUUCUUUAUAGGAUAGCCAAAUUUAUACACCAAUUAAAGAAUUCAGUAUUCUUCUCUGAAAAGUUCAUUGGCCGCAUUAUUUCUAACACAAGUAAAUCUUCCGUUCC
rnacentral:lncRNA from 1 species